rnacentral:rRNA from 1 species
CGUACCGCAAACCGACUCAGGUGGGCUGGUGGAGAACACCAAGGCGUUCGAGAGAACCCAGGUUAAGGAACUCGGCAAAUUGACACCGUAACUUCGGGAUAAGGUGUGCCAGAGGUAGGUGAAGGGCUUGCGCCUGGAGCCGAUUCUGGUUGCAACAAAGCGGCGGUAGCGACUGUUUACUAAAAACACAGGGCCCUGCGAAACCGUAAGGUGACGUAUAGGGCCUGACGCCUGCCCGGUGCCGGAAGGUUAAGGGGAGUUGUCAGCGCAAGCGAAGCGACGAACUGAAGCCCCGGUAAACGGCGGCCGUAACUAUAACGGUCCUAAGGUAGCGAAAUUCCUUGUCGGGUAAGUUCCGACCUGCACGAUGGCGUAACGACUUCCGCGCUGUCUCGACCUGGGACUCGGCGAAAUCGACAUGGGGGUGAAGAUGCCCUCUACCCGCGGCAAGACGGAAAGACCCUGUGAACCUUUACUGUAGCUUGGCAGUGGUAUUCGGUUCAUUCUGUGUAGGAUAGGUGGGAGCCUAUGAGUCGGGCACGCUAGUGACCGAGGAGGCACCGUUGAAAUACCACCCUGGAUGUGCUGGAUACCUAACCCCUUCGGGGGGACACUGCCUGGUAGGCAGUUUGACUGGGGCGGUCGCCUCCUAAAGAGUAACGGAGGCGCGCAAAGGUUCCCUCAGCCAGAUCGGAAACCUGGCGAAGAGUGUAAUCGUAUAAGGGAGCUUGACUGCAAGACCGACAGGUCAAGCAGGUGCGAAAGCAGGCGAUAGUGAUCCGGUGGUUCCACGUGGACGGGCCAUCGCUCAUCGAAUAAAAGGUACUCCGGGGAUAACAGGCUUAUCGCGCCCAAGAGUUCAUAUCGACGGCGCGGUUUGGCACCUCGGUGUCGGCUCAUCGCAUCCUGGGGCUGGAGCAGGUCCCAAGGGUAUGGCUGUUCGCCAUUUAAAGCGGUAUACGAGCUGGGUUUAGAACGUCGUGAGACAGUUCGGUCCCUAUCUGCCGUGGGCGUAGGAAGGUUGAGAGGAGCUGUCCUUAGUACGAGAGGACCGGGAUGGACGUACCUCUGGUGUUCCAGUUGUCGUGCCAACGGCAUUGCUGGGUAGCCACGUACGGUCGGAAUAACCGCUGAAAGCAUCUAAGUGGGAAAUCCUCCUCGAGAUGAGCCUUCCCUGAAGGACCCAGAAAGACUAUCUGGUUGAUAGGCCGGAGGUGCAGGCCCAGCAAUGGGUACAGCUUACCGGUACUAAUCGUCCGAUCGG